GGGGAAGUGGCUUAGUGGCAGAGCAAUGCUUAGCAUGCAUGAGGUCCUGGGUUCAAUCCUCAGUACCUCCA
rnacentral:tRNA from 1 species